CCUACGGGAGGCAGCAGUGGGGGAUAUUGCACAAUGGGGGGAACCCUGAUGCAGCGACGCCGCGUGGGUGAAGAAGCGCCUCGGCGCGUAAAGCCCUGUCAGCAGGGAAGAAAAUGACGGUACCUGAAGAAGAAGCCCCGGCUAACGACGGGCCAGGAGCCGCGGUAAUACGCAGGGGGCAAGCGUUAUCCGGAUUUACUGGGUGUAAAGGGGGCGCCGGCGGCGAUGCAAGCCAGGAGUGAAAGCCCGGGGCCCAACCCCGGGACUGCUCUUGGUACGGCGUGGCUGGAGUGCAGGAGGGGCAGGCGGCAUUCCUGGUGUAGCGGUGAAAUGCGUAGAUAUCAGGAGGAACACCGGUGGCGACGGCGGCCUGCUGGACUGCAACUGACGUUGCGGCCCGCACGCGUGGGGAGCAAACAGGAUUAGAUACCCCUGUAGUC
rnacentral:rRNA from 1 species